ensembl:snRNA U6 U6 spliceosomal RNA
GUGCUCACUUCAGCAGCACAUAUACUAAAAUUGGAACAAUACAGAGAAAAUUAGCAUGGGCUCUGUGCAAGGAUGACAUGCAAAUUUGUGAAGUGUUCCAUAUUUUU